GACGAACGCUGGCGGCGUGCUUAACACAUGCAAGUCGAACGGUAAGGCCCUUCGGGGUACACGAGUGGCGAACGGGUGAGUAACACGUGGGUGAUCUGCCCCGCACUUCGGGAUAAGCCUGGGAAACUGGGUCUAAUACCGGAUAGGACCACUGCCUGCAUGGGUGGUGGUGGAAAGCUUUUGCGGUGUGGGAUGGGCCCGCGGCCUAUCAGCUUGUUGGUGGGGUGAUGGCCUACCAAGGCGACGACGGGUAGCCGGCCUGAGAGGGUGACCGGCCACACUGGGACUGAGAUACGGCCCAGACUCCUACGGGGGGCAGCAGUGGGGAAUAUUGCACAAUUGGCGCAAGCCUGAUGCAGCGACGCCGCGUGAGGGAUGACGGCCUUCGGGUUGUAAACCUCUUUCAGCACCGACGAAGCGCAAGUGACGGUAGGUGCAGAAGAAGGACCGGCCAACUACGUGCCAGCCGCCGCAGUAACAC
rnacentral:rRNA from 1 species